ACGAUGCGCUAGGCUUUCGGAAAACAAGGGUUUCAACCAUGUAUAAGGCCGUCGGAUCGCGUGGGUCACGUGUCAGCCGCGUGCUGUGG
rnacentral:ncRNA from 1 species